rnacentral:misc_RNA from 1 species
GGAAAAAGGGCUAAAAUUAGCCUUGAGAUCAUGUUGAAAAUUAUCAGAAAAUUUCAGAUAUAACUAGAAAACCAACUAAAUGCCAAUUUUCAUUUCAGUUUUAUAGGUUUAAUGAUUGUAAAAAGCAUCAAGAUGAAGUAUUAUGGGCAUAUUGCUUUCUCUCUAAAUUAAACUUAAAAGGAGUUAGAGGAUGAGGAUUGUUCGACAAAUUAAGGAA